UCCCCUGUGGGGUAAUUGGCAGCCCGCGGGCCUUUGAAGCCUGAGGUCCUGGAUCGAAGCCAGGCGGGGGAG
rnacentral:tRNA from 1 species